CAGUAAUUAUGUUCUGCCCUGCUCCUGCUGAAUCACUGCGACCUGAUGAUAGGAAAGUUUUCUUCCAAAGACGAGCAAAACAAGGAGCACACUCUGAACAAAGAUCCUCCCAUUCCAUGAAGCUUUGGCAGCUAUAAAACAUCACAGAGCAGCAGCUUCCCAGGGAUGCUUUGGGACUGAGCAACCUCUGGGUUCCCCAGCGGUGCUGAAGAACUCCAACAUUUCUCCGUUUUGAAUAGAGCUGGCAAAAUCCAUAAUUGCUUCCAUUCUGCUUGGCUGGAAAAUAGCAAAAGCCAGGCAUGCUGCC
ensembl:lncRNA